GGAAAUACCGAUGGCGAAAGGCAGCCAUCUGGCCUAAAUACUGACGCUGAGGGUACGAAAGCAUGGGGAGCAAACAGGAUUAGAUACCCUGGUAGUCCAUGCCGUAAACGAUGUCUACUAGCCGUUGGGGCCUUUGAGGGCUUUAGUGGCGCAGCUAACGCGAUAAGUAGACCGGCCUGGGGAGUACGGUCGCAAGACUAAAACUCAAAUGAAUUGACGGGGGCCCGCACAAGCGGUGGAGCAUGUGGUUUAAUUCGAUGCAACGCGAAGAACCUUACCUGGUCUUGACAUAGUAAGAACUUUCCAGAGAUGGAUUGGUGCCUUCGGGAACUUACAUACAGGUGCUGCAUGGCUGUGGUCAGCUCGUGUCGUGAGAUGUUGGGUUAAGUCCCGCAACGAGCGCAACCCUUUUCCUUGUUUGCCAGCGGGUUAAGCCGGGAACUUUAAGGAUACUGCCAGUGACAAACUGGAGGAAGGCGGGGACGACGUCAAGUCAUCAUGGCCCUUACGACCAGGGCUACACACGUGCUACAAUGGUCGGUACAAAGGGUUGCUACCUAGCGAUAGGAUGCUAAUCUCAAAAAGCCGAUCGUAGUCCGGAUUGGAGUCUGCAACUCGACUCCAUGAAGUCGGAAUCGCUAGUAAUCGCGGAUCAGAAUGCCGCGGUGAAUACGUUCCCGGGCCUUGUACACACC
rnacentral:rRNA from 1 species